rnacentral:lncRNA from 1 species
UUUAUAUCAGAAUAUAUUUAAAAUCAGAAUACAAAAGCUGUAUUGUUCAACAGUUCAUAUGGUUGCCUGGUGAACAUGUCUUUAAAAGAUUUAGCCGAUUAUUGAUUCGUCUUUAAUAACUAAUCACUAUCAAAAUCCUUGAUUUGUGUCUGUAACUAACAGGUGAUGGGAAUUAUUUGAUUGUCAUAAAUACUGAUAUUGUAAACCUCCG